ensembl:lncRNA
UGCAAAGAUGGGCUCAAUAAAGGACAGAAAUGGUAUGGACCUAACAGAAGCAGAAGAUAUUAAGAAGAGAUGGCAAGAAUACACAGAAGAACUGUACAAAAAGGAUCUUCAUGACCCAGAUAAUCACGAUGGUGUGAUCACUCAUCUAGAGCCAGACAUCCUGGAAUGUGAAGUCAAGUGGGCCUCAGAAAGCAUCACUACAAACAAAGCUAGUGGAGGUGAUGGAAUUCCAGUUGAGCUGUUUCAAAUCCUGAAAGAUGAUGCUGUGAAAGUGCUGCACUCAAUAUGCCAGCAAAUUUGGAAAACUCAGCAGUGGCCACAGGACUGGAAAAGACUUCCUGAGGAAUCAUCAUAGAUAUCUACAAGCAGAAACUGCAAGCAGAAACUAAGCAACUCCAGGGUCCCUGCUUCUCCAAGAUGGUGUCUGGUGUACUUCACCUGGAUCAAGGAAAUCCUGAAAAAAUAGAGACAGAUGAGUGAGCUCGUGGUGUCAGUACCACCCUGUUUCAACACAUCUCAUUCCAGCUUCAGCUCAUCAGUGUGUGGAGGAUGGCUCCUGGUUGCAUUGUGGCAGCAGUGUGCCCACCUUCAGGUGGCCCCAGAGUUUAGUAGCAUCUACCACCCUCUGAAAUCACCUCUAACAACUGGGCUGCUGUUUGAAGGACAGCUCAGAAUUCGCUUCCUCAGAAACCAUCUUACACACAAGAGUCAGUAAGACAGAGAUCACUGCAUUUUCAGCACACUUCUGUUCUAUGGGGUAAGCCAACUCUUAUAGACUAACCUGGGAUACCACCAUUUACAGCAUAAUUUCUGGAAAAAAAUGCAUUACAAGAUCUAUGCACCUGCUAUUCCGUACC